UUUGCAUCAAGUCGAGUGCCCAAGAGUUUUCCUAUGAGAUUAAUCAAUUCUCCAGCCUACCAGCAUUCUAAGCUGAGCUAGAUUAGUUAUUCAGCUGAAAGAGACGUAGAGAAGUGGCAGGAUCCACUGCAAAGAAAGAGACAUUCUGCCUCUCCUACUUCAAGGCAGCAUCUUUACAUUUUUUGAGGAUUAUUACUUGGCAACAGGAUAAAACCCACUGCAUUCAUAGCAAAAAACAUAAACAUCUGAAAGUCAGCAAGGCUAAGUUCCUAAAAUCUUUGUGAGUCACAUAUAGUUGGAAACACAAGGGAGAUGCAGCUCCUACUUCCAAAAUGGGGAUUUAAUAUGAAGUACAAUGCUGUUGGUGCCGAAAUAAAGAUUUCAAAGAAAGUGGAGCCAAACUACAGGAAGUUUCAAAACCAUGUAUUUGUACUAAAAAUAAACUGACCAUACAUAGAUAAA